rnacentral:rRNA from 1 species
GACCUCAAAUCAGGUAGGAACACCCGCUGAACUUAAGCAUAUCAAUAAGCGGAGGAAAAGAAAAUAACAAUGAUUCCCCUAGUAACUGCGAGUGAAGAGGGACAAGCUCAAAUUUUAAAUCUAUCGGGUUUUACCCGAUCGAGUUGUAAUUUGAAGAAGCGUUUUCUGCGUUUUUGAUCAGCCCAAGUCCUAUUGAAUGAGGCAUCAUGGAGGGUGAUAAUCCCGUCCGGUUGAUCAUUUGCGUUUUACGAUACGCUCUCUAAGAGUCAAGUUGUUUGGGAUUGCAGCUUAAAAUGGGAGGUAAAUUUCUCCUAAGGCUAAAUAACGGCGAGAGACCGAUAGCGAACAAGUACCGUGAGGGAAAGAUGAAAAGAACUUUGAAAAGAGAGUUAAACAGUACGUGAAAUUGUUGAAAGGGAAACGAUUGAAGCCAGUCGUACCUUCGGGUAAUCAGCCUUUCGGGUGCGAUUCUGUGGAGUGUGAGGAGCUUAACACCUUCAUGCUUUGCAUAUUUGUGCUCUUGGGUGUACUUGCCCGUGUGGUUGGUUAACAUCAAUUUUGAUUAUCAUAAAAUGACUGGAGGAAUGUAGCUUCGAUCUCGUAUUGAAGUGUUAUAGCCUUCGGUAGAUGUGAUGAUCGAGAUUGAGGAUUGCAACGGAUACCCUUCGGGGCUACCUGUCUGGUCUCUGAUCGUUGCUCUGGUGCCGAAAGCUUGCUUACGGUUAUCAAAGUCGAUGGUCAAUAGGUUAGAACGGGUUAAAUUCGUUAAGGAUGUUGACGUAAUGGCUUUAAACGACCCGUCUUGAAACACGGACCAAGGAGUCUAACAUAUAUGCGAGUGUU